UACGUAGGGGGCAAGCGUUGUCCGGAAUCAUUGGGCAUAAAGCGCGUGUAGGCGGCCAGGUAAGUCCGUUCUGAAAGCCCGGGGCUCAACCCCGGGAGGCGGAUGGAUACUGCUUGGCUCGAGUCCGGAAGAGGCGAGUGGAAUUCCCGGUGUAGCGGUGAAAUGCGCAGAUAUCGGGUGGAACACCAAUGGCGAAGGCAGCUCGCUGGGACGGUACUGACGCUGAGGCGCGAAAGCGUGGGGAGCAAACAGG
rnacentral:rRNA from 1 species